GCGGGUGUAGCUCAAUUGGUUAGAGUGCCAGAUUGUGGCUCUGGAGGUUGCGGGUUCGAUCCCCGUCACUCGCCCCA
rnacentral:tRNA from 1 species